UAUUAAAGCAAAGAUAUAUUAAAAGGAGACCACAUCGGAUCUCUUCUGAUCUUGGAAACUAAGCAGGAAUAGGCCUGGUUAGUACUUUGAUGGUCGGUCACCUGGGAAUAACAGGUGCUAUAAAUC
ensembl:rRNA 5S_rRNA 5S ribosomal RNA